UGGGCUUCUCAGUUUUGUGGUCAGGACUUAUAUGGUUAUGUUUCCUAUAUAUACCAGUUGAUCUUCCCUCUAAUCUUUCAACUCAGUGGCCAACUUCUAUCAAAAGUCACAAGGGCUAACAGUCAGAUAUUACAUGAAGGCUGCAAGAACUAUGAGGCUAUUGAGAGAGAGAGAGAGAGAGAGAGAGAGAGAGACUUUACAAAGGUAUUCACUGAUAAGAAAGCUAAUAAGCUUUCUAUUUUCUAGCCACCAGAGAAUUCAAAUGGUGCAGACUAAGAGGGAAAUAUAGAAUUACUUGUUUUCACUUGCAAAUCAUGUAAAGAACGAGACAAUUUAAGGCCCCACAAGUCUGCAAGGGGUGGCUGGCAGACAUUUGGCAACAUGGAAAAGGGCUUCUAAUGCAUUCAGCUGGGCUAUGCAGUUUCAACAGUGGAAUAAAGUCCUACAAGACCAAGAUCUGGUUUCAACCAGGAGUGUGAAGAUGGCUUUAUUGGCAAUUUCUGAACAGACUUUUUACUGUGUACAAUGCUGCUAGCAGUGGUGAUCCAGUUGGAGACAUAUAGGAGGCAUAACUUCUUGAACUGGUUAAAUGAAAAUGGGAUUUAUCUACAAACAUUUUUGUCCUGAUGGCAUCUCCAUGAUUGAAGAGGAAUAGCAGUUACCUGUGCAUUUUCCUUCUUACAUGCCAGAUACUCCGAAAAAGACAGAUGAAUUUCUGCAGCAAAUAUGUGUUGUUCGCACUCUGUCUCCUCAACUGAUCUGAGUUUCAUUUCAGUCAAGACAAUUACAUCAUCUCCUUUGAGCCAAGUAUUCCUGGAGUGGUAAGGUGGGAAGUACAGUCAUUAAUGGGAUUAAACCCUAUCCUGCAGAAAGCAAGAAAAAAAAAGAACACUGUUCUGGUUUAAAGCAGCGAUGGUAUGGGGAAUCACUAAGCUGCAGGGAGAUACGUUCUGAGCUGUAUGUAUUUGCCUCUGCAGCUCAAGAGAUGCAUAGCUGUACAGUGGACUGGUUAAUGCUUCUGAACAGCUUUCUGGACAUUUCAAAAGAUAGAACAUUCCCAUCUUCUGUUUUCGAAAUAGAUACAGGGAUAGAUUCCACAGCCACAAGAAGCAGGUUGGAUUAAGACAAAAAGUAUGUAACAUGGCUUCAUGGGUGUUUAAACACUUACCAGAAUUAAGUAUUACCUGGGUGCUGAUAUUCUUGAUACUUUCUUAUAUAUAAUCUCUCCUUAGCAACUGAUGGAAGAGGAAAGUCGUGAUUUCCUUGAAGUGCUGUACCAUCUGUCAGCUCUACUCAUCUUUUCUUCAAACUUAUUUUGAGGUAGCUUCAUAUCUCCUUCUGACGUUCUCUUUUCCCAGGCUUGGUUAUAGUUGGAUGAUUGUUAUGUUCAGUUACAGAUUAUGAGAUAAUCUAUAUUUCACUUUAGAAAUAUGAGGUAUCUCACCAAGUGACACCCCACUGACACAAAUGUUGAUAACCAGUUUUCCACAAGGGGAUGUGAAACAAGAAGAUAACCAAUAUGAUUCUCUCAGAUAUUUCUGCAGGGAGUGCAGAUAUAGCAUGACCCCAUUGAUCCCAGAUAGCUUCUGUAGAAAAGCAGCCAGAUCUGAAGUUCAUUUGUGUUGAGAACUGAUGAUAAACCUUUCAGACUUUUACCACAGACGAGAGGAUCAUAUUCCACGAUGGCCAUAAACCAUGCUAAGAAAGUCUUUCCAACAGAGCAUUAAGGCAGAGGAGGUUAAAGUGACAAAAAAAGGCACAUCCUCAUACAAUCAGGAUGCUAAAUCCAGCUGAGCAAAGCAAGCAGAGUGCAGAUGCAAGACAGAAAUAAAAUAUGCAGCAAACUCAGAAGUGAAAGAAUAAAGAAGCCAGUAUGGCAGACAGUGAGAAACUAAGCAAACACACUGAAAACACAGCCCACGAGAGAAGCAAACACACGCCACGUAUAAUGAGGAAGGAAAAGUCAGGCUCAGGCCAUCCCCACUCAUUGGCAGCACAUGAAGAGAGUCAGCAAAUGCGAGCUGUAUGGGUUUCUCUGAAAACAAAGGCCUGAUUUUCAGAAAUGGAAUUUUCUUCUUCCCAUGAAGCAGCAGAUCGCUUUGUAAAAUUCAGGCCCUCCAAAAAGUCAGUGUGAAUAGCAGAAUGUGGUUUAGGGUUUUGUCUUCUGGGGAAAUGUUUAUCCACACUAACUGGGGGUAAUUGGAAAGGAAUCAUUAUAAAUUAUCUGUGCAACUUUGAAAUUUAUCUCUUGCAUUGUGUGGUGUUCUGGCAGUAAAGCAAAAGUAAGUUAAGGCUGGCGGUUCAGGAAAAAAGCUGGAACAGGAAACAUCAGGAAAAGUGAAGGCAGUGAGUAGCUACUCACAGUAUAAUUUUACAAUAUGUGGAUGUUACACCUGGAGCAAGAUGUGCACAUGUACUCCUGUGUGUGUAUACACACACACACACACCUUUGCCAUGCAGACACUGAGGCAAGAGGCAGAUAGGCUGAAGCACAAAACUGUUUAAGUGCUCUGAGCCCGUCUUCACACAUGUUAGACCUCUGUCCCAAGCCCACCCACACUGAGCCCUUUUUAUUCAUUUUGCUAGUCUUGAAAAAUGUGACGAAGAGCCCUGGCAUGUAGGAAACAGCUAGUGGUUUGCUAAAGCUCUUAUGGGCUGGUCUGCUUUUUUUAAUCCUUUGUUAAAUGUGAUUGCAGCUCAGAAUUCAUCUUUUUUAUGUUUUGCAAAUUGAAUUAAAAAUAAAUAAAUAGCUAAAAGGAGCUUGCUGGAAAAUUUAUUUUAUCUGUGUGUUGUUAUAAUUCAGCUAGCAAACACCAAGUUUUUCAGAGGAGAACAUCCAGAGCUCAUGGUUUAAAAGAUCAAAAAGCAGAAACAAAGAAGCAAGGAGCUACAUCCUUUGCCACCAGCCCAGAAUCCAUUACUAAGAUUUUUAUUACCAAGUCAUACAAAGGCAGCAGUGACAAAUUAUGAGCUCAGGAAGAUCUCAUAUAUCACAUAGAUGGAACUAACAAAAUUUUAAAAUAUAUGUCACUUUAAAGGGUAAUGAAUAAAGAUAAAUGUGUCUUGUUCCAUACUCCAGAAAUGACCAGCUAUUCGGAAUGGGGAACAGAAUAAACCUAUAGUUUCACAUCACUUUCAAUUCUUCUACCGUAAUUUUCACAGCCAGAAUAACUUAAUGGGAAAGUGACACAGGUCACCCAUGCAAUAAAAAGCUGAAUGUCAGAUGGUGAGAAAAAAUCCCCGUGGUUUUAACACUAUCAAGAGUAUCAAAGGCUUGGCUUUCCUGAAGCCGGGGCUAUCUACAGGCAGCUCUCAUAGCAUUUGCACUGGGGGAACUGCUGGAGCAAACCAGGCAAAGCGAAAUGAAGCUCAAGUAAAGACCUGUUUCUGAAAGGUGGAAAGGUCUAAGCACAACAGACGCCUCAGCUUGACAAGGUAAAUUCUAUAAGGACUCAGACAGAAAGGGGCAAUUACUGCCUUAAGCUUGAGCUCUAAUCUUAAAUUAUAGGAUAGUUUCCUAAUGAGGGGGAACAUUGCUGGAGACAGCUGUGGUGGAUGGAAGGGAGCACUGCUGUAAUUACAGAUCCUUACACAUCAGUGACAGAAGUUCCCAAACUCUAAGGGGAAACACCUUCAUCAUAUUUGUUUUUGCAGAAUCAAAUAUCAUUCUCAGUUUGCAGUGAAAUGGAAACAUCAAGUACAGGAGCCCUAAAACUGGAUUUUAGCACUACAUGAUGCAUGUCAGGAGCUGGACUGCGUUGGCAGAGCCUUCGGUGAUGACUCCUCUCCUCUGAUGGCUGCAGACUGUAACGUUUCACUGCAAGCACAGCUGGCUGUUUGGGGUGGCUGACACGCAGAGCUGCACCUGCUAGAAUAGAUGCAAAGAAAAGAGAUGUGUUCUGAGGGAUACAAAGGCAUUGUCUGACCCGUGAUGGAUUGCAUGGGCAAGAGUUUCUUAAGACCAUCCUGUGUGACCUCCUGCAUUGAUCAUCUGCUGGCUCCUGGUUGGGUGACAAAGCCUUUCAAGAUGCUACCAAACCUAUAGAAAUUACUCUGAUCUGAUGGAGGCUGGGAGAAGCAGCUGUACUGCAGAGAUGCCAACCAUCAGCAAAAUACAGCAAUUGUUUUAUGAGUUUAAUGCUAUUUAUCUUCUAAUUUAUUUACCAGAGAUGCAUGUAAUGCUGAAUGAAAGCCAGUUUGCUGAGGAGAAAAGGUCUUGAAAAAACCCUUCCAUUUUGUACCCUUCCUAAUGUAUUUUUCUUAUUAAAUAGAAUUUUUGUUUGUUUGUUUUAGAAUAUUUAGGCUUCAUUAAAAAAAAAAAAAAAAGAAACAAGCAAGUGAGGGUGGAGAGCUCAGGCUGUGAGGAGAUGGGAUCAGGCAAAGGAAAGCAGGCCAGCCAGGUCUCAUCUUGUUUCUAAUUACUUGCCCUACCAGGGACAGAGCCCCCCGUUUGCCCUGGAAGCAUAUGGUUCCUGCUCCAAAGGUUCAUAUGCCAAGGGGUGAAUGGUCACUUUGUGUAACUGUGUCUGAAGGAGUUCAAUCUGAUCUCCAGACAAAUGUGAGAAAGCUGCUGGCUUGGUAUUUGCUAUACACUUGGUAUUUGCUAUAUACUGCAAUCUCCUGUGUUUGCUACAGGUAUUUGUAAUGGCUGGGACCUCAUGGUGAGCACUGCCAGCUUCUGUACCAAGUGGAAUUAAUUGCAGGAUAGAGGCCCACUGAGGAACAGAUAAGAGGGAUCUAGAAAAAUGACGGAGGCCAGCUUGCAUUAGAUAAAUGGUGGUGAGAAAGCCCGCAUUAAUAACAGUAAUGUAGCUGUGUUUCCUGAAAAGAGAGCAAGAAAUGUCCCUAGUGUGAACAUACUUCUUGUUGGCCAAAACACAUUCUGAAUUCCUCAAUAAUCAGGCAGGAAGUGGUAAAAUCCAUCAGACAAAAUAAACAAUAUGUUAUUUUUUCCAACACUAAAAAUAUAUUUUUGGGUCAUAACUAUUACAGAAAAAACAUUUUAUGGACAAUCAGAUUUAUUUUUUCUGCCAUACUAAAGUUUUCAGUGAUGUACAGCAAGUGGAAUUUCUAUACACAAGGAGCUUUGUUUCCAAGCAGAUCAGUACUUUACCUAAUAGGUGCAUUAUUCAAAAGUACUCACUGCUCUUUCAAAAACUUGCUCAAAUAGAAAUUAUGUUUUAGUAGCUUCCCAGUCAAGUAACCAGAGAGAAAAGCGGAAUUAUAAUAGCCAUGAGUUUUUUGCUUUGUGUAAACAAAGCUGAAGUUAGGUAAUUUCUGAUUUGUUUUUGUCACUUUGUGUGAUUUUGUCUAGUUUGCACCAUAAGUGAAGUCAGUGUUAACUCUGUACCACAACAGGUCUACAGUCUUCUAUCUACCUUGCCUUGGCUGGUUGUUCUGAGAGCCUCCUACCAAGAUUUCCUGUUGCCUCCAUUUUAGAGCGGUUCUGUCUUUUCUCUGAUGAGUGGAAGUUAGUAAGACCCAGCAGAUGCUGCUGCCUGAGUAACACUGUGAUUCCUUCCAGCUUCUUUGCUUGUACAUCAAGAGGAAAGAGGAUGCUAACUUUAUAACUUCUCCCCAUUGUGCUCCAGAGGUUAGGCACCUUGCCAUAUACAGAUGUUAUCAAAAAUGGAAUCAUUUUAUAAAUAAACUGUGAAUUAACAAAGGUCUACAUAAAUGUAUGCUUUGGUUCAAGACCGAUGUAUUCCAUUCUUGGAGAACAUUCUCUAAAUAAACUGAACAUUUUCAUUUUAUA